rnacentral:tRNA from 1 species
UCUCAGGUGAUCCAGUGAUAGAAUUCUCAUCUUCCAUGAGGGAGACCUGGGUUCGAUUCCCAGCCAAAGCA